rnacentral:lncRNA from 1 species
AACUGAUCACGUUCUAUAUAAAAAUCAAUAAAAUAACAGAUAAACAACCAAGACCCUGGCUACUGUAAACUUUGUGACAGCAUAAGCAAAUGCUAAAAUGCAGCCACAUUGUUGAAUUAGGAAAGAACAUUCACAAUAAUCCUAAUUACGAUUUGUAUUCUCAAUAUGUCCCCUAACCACAAAAUGUCAAGUACAUUUAAAUCCUGAAUUCUCCUCCUCAUAACUUAGUGCCUGAUUAUGAACUUUGCCAGUAGUAAACACAUAAUCAACUUAUACAUCACAAGCCCAUUGAAACUUUGUCUCAGAAGUCCAAAGAAUUCAAACAAGUAGGGUAUAGCACAAAAUAUUCUUCUUGUUCCAAUGAUACACACAAACAAUCAAUCCAGGGAAAAAUAUUUUGUAGCGUAUAAAAGAUAAUUCUUAAAACAGUUGAAUUGAUGAGCAUGUGUACCGUGCUCCAAUUGUUUGAUGCGUGCAAUAAACGACUCAUUGUCGACUAAGUUAUAAUCCAUGGCUAAAAAACAAAAACCCACAAACCAAUAUUUAUAGUCUUCUCAUAUGAGGAUCAAUAAUAUUAAUCAAUUGCACACAAUAACCCUAGAA